GACGAACGCUGGCGGCGUGCUUAACACAUGCAAGUCGAACGGAAAGGCCCUGCUUUUGUGGGUUGCUCGAGUGGCGAACGGGUGAGUAACACGUGAGUAACCUGCCCUUGACUUUGGGAUAACUUCAGGAAACUGGGGCUAAUACCGGAUAGGAGCUCCUGCUGCAUGGUGGGGGUUGGUAAGUUUCGGCGUUUGGGGAUGGUCUGGCGGCUUAUCGGCUUGUUGGUGGGGUAGUGGCUUACCAAGGCUUUGACGGGUAGCCGGCUUGAGCGGGUACCCGGCGCCCUGGGGCCUAAGAGAGGCCCCAGACGCGAACGGGCGGCAGAGGGGGGAAAUAUGGCGCAAUGGCGGCACGCCUGUUGAGACAAGCCCGGGAGCGGAAAACCGUCCUACGGGUGAAAAACCACUUUGUACGUUACCAAGCACUGAGUGACGGUAAUGGGUAAAGAAGCACCGGCUAACUACGUG
rnacentral:rRNA from 1 species